UGGGGAAUUUUGGACAAUGGGCGAAAGCCUGAUCCAGCAAUGCCGCGUGUGUGAAGAAGGCCUUCGGGUUGUAAAGCACUUUUGUCCGGAAAGAAAUCCUUGGCUCUAAUACAGUCGGGGGAUGACGGUACCGGAAGAAUAAGCACCGGCUAACUACGUGCCAGCAGCCGCGGUAAUACGUAGGGUGCAAGCGUUAAUCGGAAUUACUGGGCGUAAAGCGUGCGCAGGCGGUUUGCUAAGACCGAUGUGAAAUCCCCGGGCUCAACCUGGGAACUGCAUUGGUGACUGGCAGGCUAGAGUAUGGCAGAGGGGGGUAGAAUUCCACGUGUAGCAGUGAAAUGCGUAGAGAUGUGGAGGAAUACCGAUGGCGAAGGCAGCCCCCUGGGCCAAUACUGACGCUCAUGCACGAAAGCGUGGGGAGCAAACAGGAUUAGAUACCCUGGUAGUCCACGCCCUAAAACGAUGUCAACUAGUUGUUGGGGAUUCAUUUCCUUAGUAACGUAGCUAACGCGUGAAGUUGACCGCCUGGGGAGUACGGUCGCAAGAUUAAAACUCAAAUGAAUUG
rnacentral:rRNA from 1 species